CCGCGGCUGCGGACGCUGGGUGUGUAGCUCAAAGAGCGCUUGGGAAUCUGCGGCCGGUCGUCCAGAGAGGGCAGGCUACCGGAGCGAGGCUACACAGCGCCGGCCGUGGUGGCGCGCGAACUUGGAAACCCUGGUUGUUGAGUGGGUCGGCAGGAAGGUGUUUUGGCUGCGCUCACUGUGGGGUAGGGAAACAGGCACAGAAAAGAUGCGGCUGGUCCGGGUCUCGCUGCGGGAGUCAGGCUUCUUCUAACCCCUCUUUCUCCCGUUGGGGUUCCUGCCUCUAGGAUCGGGUGCCCCCUCCCGGUGACCCGCUUCCUGUAGAACCCUUGUUUUGAACAGCAGUACCUGGCUAACGCGUCUCUGGAAUUCGUAGCCUGGCACCUGUCCUACCUCUCACGGGGGCUCUGGGAUCACAGACUAGGAAGCCUCUCCCUGAGCCCGUUUUCCUACCCGCAUAAUGGUGACAACAUAACAUCUACCUCCUUAAGAAGCCGAAGAGAUAACGAGACUAGGACACGGGGGAGAAUGCUCAGAUGGAGAGCUUGCCACACUCACUUGAGAACCGAAGUCCCACAGAUGCCCAGAACUCAUGCAAACAAGGUGAGGUGCUGUGUGUCUGUAACCCCAGCACUCCACAGCCAGCUAGGAGGUGGAGACAGGAGGCUCAUGCCCCAGCUAGCCAGGCGUUCACAGCAAGUGACAAGAGAGCCUGUCUCAAAUGAGGGCAAAUACAUCAAAGUUAUAAUUAAAACGCUUGAAAUGGAAAUCCAUUUAUAUAAUAAAUGAGUGAGUUUAAAUCUGA